rnacentral:lncRNA from 1 species
AGAGCUCAAGAAAUAUAUAAAAGACACUGUGAAGAAAAAUUUGUUAAUGAAAUGAUUGCCUUUCAAAAAGCUUGUGAAAGAUUUCAAGAUGCUCAAACAAAAGCUGCAACUGUGAAAAAGGAAUUUAAUCUUUAAAAUUUCCAAUAGAAUGACAAAGUGAACUGAUGGCAGAUCAUAUUCUGUGGUCAUUUUGAAUUAUGUUCAUUGUUUUUAUUUAAAGAACUUUGAAAUAAUUACAUGAAAGGAGUAUUCCAUGUCUCAAGAUGGUUUUAUAUAUAAGCUCAUAAAAAUGUAAAGAAUAAUUAAAAUGUUCUCUUUUGAUCAUAAUUUAACUUAAAUCAAUUUGAAUUGACAUUCCUAAAGUUUCCAGAUAUUCAGGGAAUAAUUAAACCCAAUUUAAUCUAUUGCAGGAAAUAUUGCUAAGGCAUUGCUUGUAUUGUUUCAUAUCCUAAAUAGAGCAAUCCAUAAGCUAUUUUCAGUUUCUCUGACAAACUUAGCAUAGUAAAUUCUGCCCAAGUUACUGACUUUUAUUAAGAUACUAUGUUCUUUUAGUUUCAUUACCUGCUUUCAUAUAUUUAAUUAUAUUUUCUGUUUACUUUGUUAAAACACUUUCUGAAUUUCUUUUUUUAAAAUAAAGAUUUCACCAUUAUGUCAGUGAUGGAUGUUCUUAUAAAAACUCAUAAAAUAUAAAUUGUAGAAGGGAAAUUAAACAUUCCUGUUAACUUCCUAGAAGACUGUUAAGAAUUUUGUAUAUUUACUUUCAAUGUGUUUGCCUUUUACCUCUCUGCCUCUCUGGUGCAGAGAGGUGUGAAGAGACAGAGAGAGGACACAUAUAAUUGAGUAUUUGUGAUCAUAAAAUACACAGAAAUGGUAUAUACUAAUUUAAGUCUGUUUAAUAUAUAUUCAUGGUAGAAUUUGAAAAGUUAAAAAAAAUAUAAAAGUCCUUUGUAAAAUUUUAGUUUAUUUUCAGUGUUUCCAUAUAUCUGGAAAGAUACAUAUGUCACUAUUAUUACAACAUUGCUAACUUAAUACACUGUAGCUAAUACUAUUCAAAAUUUCUCUUUAAUACUCAUCAGUUAUAAAUGUGUUUUUAAAAGUGUUUCUUUUUAAAAUUCUCUGAUUUUAUUACUCUAAAUUAAGUUUCCAAAAAUUAAGUAUUUUAUAACAGCAGUUAUUCAUUGUGCUUCUAUGAUGGACUGCGAAAAAAUGCUGGUAGCACUUUCCUAAUUUCCUGUAAAAAUAAUAGCUGCUUAUUUAAAUCCAUGGCCCCAGAGCUCCCUUUUCUUGUUAAUUUGCAGAUAACUAAUGAGCAAGUCAUAUUGGUUUUUCUAAUUAUUCUUGGAAAAGAACAAAGGGAGAUACUUUGAGGUGGUAAAAGUAUGACAGAUGUAGAUUUUCAUAGCAAAUUAGAUAAUUUCUCUGUAAUCCUGUUUUUAUAUUCUGUUUUUGGAAAUAAUAUGUAUCUUUUUGGGGAUUUUAUUGAAAAUAGUAGUCUAUAUCAUAUCCUACUGUUAUCAGACUUGAAUACAAAAAACAAAAAGCAACAUAGUGCCUUCCACAGAGUAAGAAUUGAAGGUAAGUGUGUAGUCAUAGAGGCAGAAGUCUUUUCUGUGUAGUUAUAGGGGGAUUUGUCAACUAAGUAAGAGCUGAGGGACAGUCUGUCAAGGAUUGGUGGUUUGUUGGCAUGAUGUAUUUGAAUAUAAUUCAUUCUUUCAGUCUAAACAUUUAUUGAAUAUUUGUUGCCCUUCCUCUAUACUCCCAUUCCAUACCACAGAUCUUUUAUAACCUUUAUCACACAACAGGUAAUCAAUAAUUUCCUUGAUUCAUUCCCCCAACCUGAGCAUUUUAGGGCAAAGACUAUUUUACUCAUCUCUGUGUUUCCAUUACUUUGUACUAGUGCAGAUUUUAUAUUAUGCACAAUGCUUUUUCUGUUCAUAGUUUUCUUUUCCUGUUUAUGUGCUGUCCCAGGUCCAUCUCAUGACUUUUAAUCAUUUCUUACUAUUUAUGUUUUUGAAGAAUCAGAAAUCUGUAUCUCUAGGUUAUAUCUUAAGUUCAAUAUAUCUUCUACAUUUCCAAAUGCAUGCAGAGACCUCUUCUUCAAAGGCCUAGAAUCUUUUAAAAAUACUACAUUGAAAUAGAAUUUAUUGUGUUUUUGUUUUUGUUGUUGUUUGUUUUACUAUUUUGCUCCCUUUCCAAUCUUGCUUCUCUUUCUAUAUUCUAAACUCCCAUAGGUUCAUAGCCAUUUAAAUAGUUUCCCAUAUUAAAAGUUUAGAAUAUACCUUUUUUUUUUCUCUUAUUCCACCUCAUCUGAAUAAAUACAAAGUCUAAAAAUUUUAUCUGCAGGUCUCUUUGGCAGAGACUGGCUAGCUUUUCACCAAACCUAUUUUCUAUUUCCUCAGGACACAAUUAGCUUAUUUUUGCUAGCCUCCCAUGAAAAGUUAAUUGAGGCACAGGACUGAAUUCUGACUAGCAAAAUCGGGGUAAAAAUGAUUGGCAGCCCUUCCAGUUUCCUUAGCAGAACUAGCAACUGCUAUAAGCCUGAAGCAGUAUCCAAGGAUUACAGCAGCAGCAUCUCAUUUUAGAAGAAAAUUAAGAGGUCAGUUAGCAACUUUUUCUUAUUUUUCUUUCUUAGAACCAAGAGAAAGAAUCUAUGAGAAAAUGUGACUGUUAGAGAUGCAGAUCCUUCUUUCAUCUUUUCAUCAAUAGAGAUGUGCACCAACCAGAAUCUCUCUUCAUGCUUGAUGGCCCAGAAUAACAGAUCCUCUAGGAUAACAGAUCCUCCGUUCCCAGUGGCUUAGUCCUACUUAAUUUCUCACUGAUACUACAUGUCCAGUGGGCCUGAGACCUCUGUAUUACUUGUACCCAGCAAGACAAAUUUUGGCCUGCAUUUAAUCCCAUGGAAGAAUCAUUCCCCUAACCACACUCCUGCUGCCUCAUAAAGGAGUAUUCUGAGAGUUAAUCAUGCAGAGUCUCCCCUACAACGGCUGGAGGAAGUAAGAGAAAACCUUUGUCAGGUGUCUACUAGUUCAAGAACUAUGGAUGCAUGCUCUCUACCUUUUCCUCAUUUUAUCCUCAAAAAUCCAUGGAAAGAACUUUUGGAGAACAAAAGAAAGAGGAUAAUGGAGAAGAUCAUGAUGUGAAUUAUGUGAUCAUUGUGUGAAUCAGGAGAGACAAUAUGAAAAUAAAUAGAGCUGGACAAGGAACCUGAAUCUUCAUCUUGAUUCUGCAAAAUAUUGAACAAAGUAAACUGCCAUAGCAAAUAAACCAUAAAAUAUAAGGGUGGCACAGAGUGAAAUCAAGAUGCUGGCUGGGCUGUAUUAUCAUAUGGAGUUAGCAUCCUCUUCUACGUUCCUUCAGGCCCUUGGCAAAAUUCAGCUUCUUGCAGCUGUAUCUCUAAGAUUUCAACAACAUUUGAAAUUUAUGUGAAGGCAUUAAAGACAGCAAAAGGAAAGAAGAAGUCACUAGUUAGGGAAAAAUGAAAGCCAACAAAAUUUAUUACCACAGAAGCCAGAAGAAGAGAAAGUUCCAAGAAGAAGGGCAUCAUCUGUGCACAAGUUUUAAAUAUUUGUAUGCCAUACAUCUUAUUUAUGGGUACCCUUUUUUUUCUUUUUUAGUCAUAACUCUUUUGUUAGGUAAUUUCAUCUAGCUUUAUGGCUUUAUAUUCAAUAUCUCUGCUGCUGAAUCCUACAUCUAUUAUUUUCACCUCAAUCUCUUCUCUAAACCCCAGGGUUAUGGGCCAACUCUAUGAAUUAUCUAUUUGUUUAAUAUAGAUACUUAGUAAGUAUGUCAGUCACUAAAUGUCUAAAACAGAGGUCUUGAUUCUCCUUCCCAGCUUAAUUGUUCCCCAGUUUUUCCUAUCUGAGUGAAUGUCAUUCUCACUUAGUAACUCAACCCUGAAACACAGGAGUCAAACUUUGUUCCUCAAUUUCCCUCACCUCUGACAAACAUCUCUAAGUUCUAUAGACUCUUCCUUUAAAAUGUCCUAAAGUUGUCCACUCUUUUCUUGCUCCAGUGCUACUAUUGAGUGUCUGGUUGACAAAUGAAAGAGCUUCUUAACUGCUUUCAGUGUUUCUGUAUUGUUCCCCUCCUAACCUGUGCCUCUGCUAAACCAGCCUCUACAGGGUAUGCAUAUGACAUGUGUUAGAAUCACAUUCUGACCCUCAUCUCCUUAAAAACCUCCCAUUACAUGCAAUUACUCUUAUAAUAAAACACAAACUCUUAGCUUACAGAGCUCUCUAUGAUCCAAUCCUUGCUAAUCUCUCUGCCCUUAUUUUAUGCUCCUCUGCCUGGAACACUUUUCCUAGAUUUCUGAGUAGCUGGCUCCUUACUACGCAGUCUUGGUUUAAAUCUCUGCUCCUCAGAAAAAUAUUUUCUGAUCACUCAAUUUGAAAUAACUCCAUGUAACAUCACACUUUUAUUUUUAUCACAGUGCAAUUGUCACUUCUUCAUUUUGCUAUUUGUUUUUCUCUGUGUUUCCAAUGGAAUAUAAGCUCCAGGGUAAGAUGGAUCAUAUUUGCUUGUCCUUUGCUAUAUUUACCAAAGAACUUGGAAAAUAGUAGGCUUUUAAUAAAUGCUCGUUG